CGCUGCUUCCUUGGUUUAGUGUUGCCUGUGUUGUGCCCGAAAGCAGUGUUGUAGAUUUUAUUGCGCUGUGCCCGUAAUCAUUGAGUGACCGCCCUGUGCGUGUGUUGCCGCGUCAGGAAGGGAGUGUUGCGUCUCCAGGAGGGUCUUCCCCUUCCGAGUUGCGUCUGCGCUUGCUUCCUUCGUCAGGCACCUCCCGCCUCACUCCUUGCUUCCUCCCGUCUCCCAGAGUCUACACACCUGCACUCUUGAGGAGUUAGCAGCCAACGGCGUUAGGUUGCCAGGUGGACGAGUAGGGCCGAGUGGUGUCAACGUGAGGGCAGUGUAGCUGAUCGUGUGGAAAGUGGGGUGCCAACUCCACUGGUUCUAAUUACAAGUCUGGUUGUAGUGCCGGACUGGAGCAACAAAUAUGCCCAUUGGAUCGAGAAUGUGUAGUGCACUGAUGUGGGUAAUGUGAACUGGAAAUAUAAAUAAGGAUUGAGACAAAAUGGUAUAUUAUGUUCCUUGUUACGUGGCACGGCUUCCUAUAAUCUCCGGCUACUCCUAAUUACGAGUAGAUGCCUGCCUUUCAGUGUGGUCAACGCCACGACACACCAGGUUUCCUUUAACAUUCUCUCUCUCUCUCUCUCUCUCUCUCUCUCUCUCUCUCUCUCUCUCUCUCUCUCUCUCUCUCUCUCUCUCUCUGUAAAACAAUAUAAAAAUCGAUAACAGCAACAACAGCAACAACAACAAGCCCAGCUCCACACCAUCUGGUUCACCACCACCACAGCCCCAACACAACAGCAACACAACCACAGCCGUUAACACCUGUACCACCACCACCACCACCACAGCCCCAACACAACAGCAACACAACCACAGCCGUUAACACCUGUACUACCACCACCACCACCACCACCAUAACACAAAGUACAAAACAAACUCGUGCAGGAAAUUAAAUCUGAAGUGUGAUCGGAUUUAUAUAGUUUUUCCUCUACUUUAUUUCCUCUUUCGUAUUUCCUCUCUCGUAACAAAUCGCUACUGUACUUUUUGUUUUGUUUUUAUCUCUUCUUUUUCCUACUACUUCCUCUUCUUCCAUUUUCCACUUACUCCUUCCUUCUGCCCAAUUUAUUCACGUGGAUUCUCCCCUUUUUUCCCCCCUUUUUCAUUCACUAUCAUUCAUUUCCUUCUUCCUUUUCAUAAUCAACACGUUUUCGCUUCCACUCAAUGCCUCUUUCCCUUUUACACAUCCAUUGUUAUUCAUUAUUUUCCUUUCUCUCAUCGAUUCUCUCCUUCCCUCUUCUUCUUUCAUUCUUUCUUUCUUUCUUCACUGCAAUUCCUUCCUUCCUUUUCCUUACAUUCAUUCAUUCUUGUUUUCCUCUCCCCAUUCGCGCCUUCCUUCCCUCCUCCACACUCCUUCGCUUUCCUUCCUUUCUCCUGCACCUUUCUCUCUCUUGCACCCUUUCAUUCGUUUCUCUUGCCCAGUCUCACACUACAUAUUCCCUCUUUUUCACCUUAUUCCUUCCUUCCUCUCUUCUUUCCUCUACAUUCUUUUACUCCUUUCCUUGCUUUACACUCCUUCCUCCUAUUACCCUCUACCACUCUCACUCUUCCCUUCUUUCCCCUCUUCUUCCCCCUCGUUCUUUCCUCUUGUGCGCUCAUAUCUUGCAUUCUGUUCUCUCUGCACCCACUACACCUCUUCCACCUCCUGCUCCACUUCCCUCCUUCAGCUCUGCAUUAUUUCGCUUCUCACCUUCUUUCUUCCCUUCAGUAAUUGCUCCACACAGACGCCAUGUGGGUUAAGCGUGGAGGAGGAAGAGGAGGAGGAGGAGGAAGUGGUGGUGGUGGUGGAGUCCUUUGUAAGGCUUCUACACACCUGUUUAGGCUAUUGAUGUAUGUGCGUGGCUGGUGAGACAAGAGGGAUCAAAUCAGAUAAUGAGGGAUAGACAGUGGGGUUGAAAGAAGAAGUAGUAGAGGUUGGGUGAAGAACAGUGACAGAAGUAUGAGAAUGAAAUAUGACAGAAAUGCCGUCUUGUCUGCGUCACAGGUGUUUCAGUUCAUUUAGUUUUCUAAAAUAAUAGUACAACAGUUGUAUUAUUCAUAUAUUGGUUCAGGUAAGGCUUUUCGAAAUGUGUUUACUGGUUUCCUGAAGAGGCGAUGUUCAUUUUCUUCUGCUGGAGUUGUGUUUAUGUACGUGGCGUCCUUGAGUAUGUGCGUCAGUUUGUGAUGUACUUGUUUUCCUCUCAUAUAAAAUAUUGUAUUAAUUGGUUCCAUUUUUGCUUGUGUGUGCAGUUCCUCCGGUGUGUGGGGAUGUUUCGUUGUAGGCGAAGCGGAGUGGAAAAGUGUGUGUGUGUGUGUGUGAGAGAGAGAGAGAGAGAGAGAGAGAGAGAGAGAGAGAGAGAGAGAGAGAGAGAGAGAGAGAGAGAGAGAGAGAGAGAGAGAGAGAGAGAGAGAGAGAGAGAGAGAGAGAGAGAGAGAGAGAGAGAGAGAGACAGAGUGAGGGGACAGGGGAAGCAGACGGGCAGACAGACAGACAACCAUACAUACAAACAGGCAUGCAGACAGACAGAGACCGGCAACCUCCUCCCCCUACACACACACACACACACACACACACACACACAUACACACACACACACAGGUAUAUAAAGAACACAGGCUUCUCCACCGACCUUGAUGGAACGUUUUGUGGUGAAAAGUUGAGAAUUUCCAAAGGUAUCACUGACUGGAGAGGUGUAAUGAAGUGGACUCUUGGUUUUCUUUAGUCCAAUGGCUUCUCCACCAACCUUGAUAGGACGCAGUGUAAGUGUUGUCGAUUAUUUUCUUAGUCGCUAAUGACAAAAAGAGUAAUGAGUUCCAGAAAUUGUCUUUUUUUUCCCCUGCGAGGUUAAUGAAAUGUGGCUGUGGAGGUGAAGCAUGCAUUCUUCAAACACUACUGACAUUAAAAGAAGUAUUCGAGUUCUUGGAGUUGUUCUCAUGUCUACAGUCAGUUUUUACUGUUGUGGUUCCUGCCUUCGACUUUAAUAGAAUGUUGUGGCGUAAGAGAAAUAUAUUUUUUUUUCAAACGCCACUGACAUCAAGAACAGUUAUCGAGUUUUUGAAUGAAAUAUUUUAACACCAGCAGUUAUUUAUUUAUUUAUUUAUUUAUUUAUUUUUUUUAGUUUUGGCUUCUCAUGCUUGGUAGUGUGUCGUGGUGCAGGUGAACACAAUGGUCUGUUUUUUGUAUGAAAUGUGUAUUAUAAAAUAGGGUAAGUAAAGUUUUUUUUUAAUGUAUUCAUGUAAACAACAAAUCUACGUAUUUUUUUUAUUUCUAUUAAAUAAUUAAAGUAUUUUUUUAAUGUAUUCAUGUAAACAACAAAUCUACGUAUUUUUUUCUAUUAAAUAAUAAUAAUAACAAUAAUAAUAAUAAUAAUAAUAAUAACAAUAAUUCUCUCUCUCUCUCUCUCUCUCUCUCUCUCUCUCUCUCUCUCUCUGGAACACUACCACUGCCAGUAAAAAGAGUAAUCGAGUUGUUGAAGUACUUAAAUGCCUGAAGUUGUAUGAUUUUACUGGUUCUUGCCACGACUGAUGGCCUUGGAAUAAGCGAAGAGAACAACUUGGAGCAGCACCGCAAACACUAAAAGCAGCAGACGAAUAGUUCAAACCUCUCAGCGGCUCUUGUUUUCAUAUCUGCUCAGUGAGGGUGGCUGGAGUAAACCGAUAGCUGGAACAUUCGACCACCUGAACAAUUCGUAAUACUGAAAAAAUUAACUGGAAUAUGACUGAACCAAUUCCAUCACUCCUAAUGCACAAAAGAAACCGAAAAAUAUGAUGUAGUUGGUGAAAGACUUGCCCAACAUACUUAGGGUCUCACUGGAUGAACUUGAAAUUAUUGCUACGAGUAAUGAGAGAGAGAGAGAGAGAGAGAGAGAGAGAGAGAGAGAGAGAGAGAGAGAGAGAGAGAGAGAGAGAGAGAGAGAGAGA